GCAAGUCGAACGCACUCUCGUUUAGAUUGAAGGAGCUUGCUCCUGAUUGAUAAACAUUUGAGUGAGUGGCGGACGGGUGAGUAACACGUGGGUAACCUGCCCUAAAGUGGGGGAUAACAUUUGGAAACAGAUGCUAAUACCGCAUAAAACCUAACACCGCAUGGUGUAGGGUUGAAAGAUGGUUUCGGCUAUCACUUUAGGAUGGACCCGCGGUGCAUUAGUUAGUUGGUGAGGUAAAGGCUCACCAAGACCGUGAUGCAUAGCCGACCUGAGAGGGUAAUCGGCCACACUGGGACUGAGACACGGCCCAGACUCCUACGGGAGGCAGCAGUAGGGAAUCUUCCACAAUGGACGAAAGUCUGAUGGAGCAACGCCGCGUGAGUGAAGAAGGUUUUCGGAUCGUAAAACUCUGUUGUUGGAGAAGAAUGUAUCUGAUAGUAACUGAUCAGGUAGUGACGGUAUCCAACCAGAAAGCCACGGCUAACUACGUGCCAGCAGCCGCGGUAAUACGUAGGUGGCAAGCGUUGUCCGGAUUUAUUGGGCGUAAAGCGAGCGCAGGCGGUUUCUUAAGUCUGAUGUGAAAGCCUUCGGCUCAACCGAAGAAGUGCAUCGGAAACUGGGAAACUUGAGUGCAGAAGAGGACAGUGGAACUCCAUGUGUAGCGGUGAAAUGCGUAGAUAUAUGGAAGAACACCAGUGGCGAAGGCGGCUGUCUGGUCUGUAACUGACGCUGAGGCUCGAAAGCAUGGGUAGCAAACAGGAUUAGAUACCCUGGUAGUCCAUGCCGUAAACGAUGAGUGCUAGGUGUUGGAGGGUUUCCGCCCUUCAGUGCCGCAGCUAACGCAUUAAGCACUCCGCCUGGGGAGUACGACCGCAAGGUUGAAACUCAAAGGAAUUGACGGGGGCCCGCACAAGCGGUGGAGCAUGUGGUUUAAUUCGAAGCAACGCGAAGAACCUUACCAGGUCUUGACAUCCUUUGACCACUCUAGAGAUAGAGCUUUCCCUUCGGGGACAAAGUGACAGGUGGUGCAUGGUUGUCGUCAGCUCGUGUCGUGAGAUGUUGGGUUAAGUCCCGCAACGAGCGCAACCCUUAUUACUAGUUGCCAGCAUUUAGUUGGGCACUCUAGUGAGACUGCCGGUGACAAACCGGAGGAAGGUGGGGACGACGUCAAAUCAUCAUGCCCCUUAUGACCUGGGCUACACACGUGCUACAAUGGAUGGUACAACGAGUUGCGAGACCGCGAGGUUUAGCUAAUCUCUUAAAACCAUUCUCAGUUCGGAUUGUAGGCUGCAACUCGCCUACAUGAAGCCGGAAUCGCUAGUAAUCGCGGAUCAGCAUGCCGCGGUGAAUACGUUCCCGGGCCU
rnacentral:rRNA from 2 species